CUUUGCUCCCCUGGCGACUGCCUGGACAGUCAGCAAGGAAUUGUCUCCCAGUGCAUUUUGCCCUCCUGGCUGCCAACUCUGGCUGCUAAAGCGGCUGCCACCUGCUGCAGUCUACACAGCUUCGGGAAGAGGAAAGGAACCUCAGACCUUCCAGAUCGCUUCCUCUCGCAACAAACUAUUUGUCGCAGGAAUAAAGAUGGCUGCUGAACCAGUAGAAGACAAUUGCAUCAACUUUGUGGCAAUGAAAUUUAUUGACAAUACGCUUUACUUUAUAGCUGAAGAUGAUGGUAAAGUAGAAAUGAAUUUAUUUUUCUUUGCAAACUAAGUAUCUGCUUGAGACACAUCUAUCUCACCAUUGUCAGCUGAGGAAAAAAAAAAAUGGUUCUCAUGCUACCAAUCUGCCUUCAAAGAAAUGUGGACUCAGUAGCACAGCUUUGGAAUGAAGAUGAUCAUAAGAGAUACAAAGAAGAACCUCUAGCAAAAGAUGCUUCUCUAUGCCUUAAAAAAUUCUCCAGCUCUUAGAAUCUACAAAAUAGACUUUGCCUGUUUCAUAGGUCCUAAGAUUAGCAUGAAGUCAUGGAUUCUGUUGUAGGGGGAGCGUUGCAUAGGAAAAAGGGAUUGAAGCAUUAGAAUUGUCCAAAAUCAGUAACACCUCCUCUCAGAAAUGCUUUGGGAAGAAGCCUGGAAGGUUCCCGGGUUGGUGGUGGGGUGGGGCAGAAAAUUCUGGAAGUAGAGGAGAUAGGAAUGGGUGGGGCAAGAAGACCACAUUCAGAGGCCAAAAGCUGAAAGAAACCAUGGCAUUUAUGAUGAAUUCAGGGUAAUUCAGAAUGGAAGUAGAGUAGGAGUAGGAGACUGGUGAGAGAAGCUAGAGUGAUAAACA
rnacentral:lncRNA from 1 species